GAUGAACGCUGGCGGCGUGCUUAACACAUGCAAGUCGAACGAAGGCAUGGAGUUGAUUUCCUUCGGGCCUUAGCAACUGGCGACUGAGUGGCGGACGGGUGAGUAACCUGUGGGUCACCUGCCUUUUACCGGGGGAAAAUCGGAGGAAACCGCUGCUAAUUCCGCUUAAGCGCACGGCAUCGCAUGAUGCAGUGUGAAAAACUCGGGUGGGAUAAGACGGAUGCGCGUUGGGUUGGCAAGUUGGGGAGGUAAGGGCCCACGAAGGCGACGAUCCAUCGCCGACAUGUGAGCGGGGCCGCCGACCAUGGUACUAAGGCACGGCCCAAACUCCUACGGGAGGCAGCAGUGGGGAAUAUUGCACAAUGGAGGAACGUCUGAUGCGGCGACGCCACGUGAGCGAAGAUGUUUUUCUGUAUGUAAAGCGCUAUCAACGGGGAAGAUUAUGACGGUACCUGACUAAUAAGCACCGGCUAAAUACGUG
rnacentral:rRNA from 1 species